rnacentral:rRNA from 1 species
GACGAACGCUGGCGGCGUGCUUAACACUUGCAAGUCGAACGGUAAGGCCCUUUCGGGGGUACACGAGUGGCGAACGGGUGAGUAACACGUGGGUGAUCUGCCCUGCACUUUGGGAUAAGCCUGGGAAACUGGGUCUAAUACCGGAUAGGACUACGCGAUGCAUGUCGUGUGGUGGAAAGCUUUUGCGGUGUGGGAUGGGCCCGCGGCCUAUCAGCUUGUUGGUGGGGUGAUGGCCUACCAAGGCGACGACGGGUAGCCGGCCUGAGAGGGUGUCCGGCCACACUGGGACUGAGAUACGGCCCAGACUCCUACGGGAGGCAGCAGUGGGGAAUAUUGCACAAUGGGCGCAAGCCUGAUGCAGCGACGCCGCGUGGGGGAUGACGGCCUUCGGGUUGUAAACCCCUUUCAGCACAGACGAAGCGUAAGUGACGGUAUGUGCAGAAGAAGCACCGGCCAACUACGUG